GGAGAGGGGCGUGGCGAGGCUUGGGGGCGUGGCAGAAGAAUUUCCAAGAUGCCGACGCAGAUCUGAAACUUGAGACCUUCUUGCCUCAUUUUCCUAGAACCUGGGAUUACACUGCUCCUGAAAUGGACCGCGGGUUUCAACUGAAGGAGUUAAGAAACGACAUGUUGUUGUUGUGGCAUUCUGACUACUGACUACUGAACAGCACACUUGAUUAUGAAUUACGGGCACAUGAGAAACGGCAAGGGCAAGAUGACUCUGAUCUUCCUUAUCAUUCAUCAAGGAUAAAACAUUGACUCGGAAGGAAACUACUAACAAACCUAGUUAAACCACCUAGCCACUUUCCCCCAUUAACUACCCUACUCCAAGUCCCUCUGCGCUGUCAUAUUUUCACAAUUUACUACUCUGUCUAGCUGGCAUAUGUGUAUGUCUGUGUCUGUGUCCUGUGCCACAUACAGCUUGUACUAAGUAAAUGCUUAUGCUUUUCUCAUGCUGAUAUUCCUUGUGUCAAUUUAAUUUUCAGACAGAAUUGAAAAAAAACACUAAGAGGACAGAAGUAAAAUUUUGCCUAACCUACAAAAUGUC